rnacentral:rRNA from 1 species
UACGGAGGGUGCGAGCGUUGUCCGGAAUCAUUGGGCGUAAAGGGCGCGUAGGUGGCCCGGUCAGUUCGUGGUGAAAGCGCGGGCUCAACCCUGCGUCGGCCAUGAAUACUGCCGCGGCUGGAGCACUGUAGAGGCAGGCGGAAUUCCGGGUGUAGCGGUGGAAUGCGUAGAGAUCCGGAAGAACACCGGUGGCGAAGGCGGCCUGCUGGGCAGAAC